UAUGUCCGAAGUUGUGACAAACGUACGUCCUAUGGACGUCUUUUGUAAAAAAAAUGGACAUAUAACGGACGUCCAAUGGACAUCUGUCUGCUGUCUGGAUAGUGAUUACUACCCAACGAUUUCGCAAUCAGAAUGAUCGCUGUGGUUUCGUUGCUCAUAUCCUAACAUUAAACGCGAUGGCGUGGACUUUAUCGCUCUAUAACCUGCUGUCCAUGUAUGCCGGCCUCCACCGUUGCCCCUCCUUAUCCGGUGCAAAUAAUAGAAAUAAGCCCCGGGGUCGACGCCAUAUUUUGGCUGCCCCCGGGCGCUUGGACACGUUUUGCAACGCGCCGAAGAGGGAUCUACCAUGAAAGGAGGGCGUACUAGGUGGCGAAAUCCGAUCCGACGACGUAACCGCUUCAAGCAACAAGCUUGAUUGGCGCUUCGACAAGAACUACUUCUCUAUCCGCGGUUCUUCGGCACGACAACUUCAGGAAGUGUGAGCCCGAAUCCCACUUCUGAUGUGUUUUACUUCUCGCUGUAAAAGAGACAGCAAGGAUUCUCUGGCUUUCCACUCUCCCUCGACGACUUUAUGACAGGAUAGACAGCACAAUAAAAUAAUUGUUCGACAUUUGUAUAAUUAGAAAAU